ACCUUGGUGGUGUAGAGGUAGCACGCGUCCCCUGUAUGGAUAAAACGAGGGUUCGACUCCCGUCUGAGGUU